rnacentral:rRNA from 1 species
GGGUUGUGAGGUUAAGCGACUAAGCGUACACGGUGGAUGCCCUGGCAGUCAGAGGCGAUGAAGGACGUGCUAAUCUGCGAAAAGCGUCGGUAAGGUGAUAUGAACCGUUAUAACCGGCGAUGUCCGAAUGGGGAAACCCAGUGCAAUUCGUUGCACUAUCGUUAACUGAAUACAUAGGUUAACGAGGCGAACCGGGGGAACUGAAACAUCUAAGUACCCCGAGGAAAAGAAAUCAACCGAGAUUCCCCCAGUAGCGGCGAGCGAACGGGGAGCAGCCCAGAGUCUGAAUCAGCUUGUGUGUUAGUGGAACGGUCUGGAAAGUCCGACGGUACAGGGUGAUAGUCCCGUACACCAAAAUGCACAGGUUGUGAACUCGAAGAGUAGGGCGGGACACGUGGUAUCCUGUCUGAAUAUGGGGGGACCAUCCUCCAAGGCUAAAUACUCCUGACUGACCGAUAGUGAACCAGUACCGUGAGGGAAAGGCGAAAAGAACCCCGGCGAGGGGAGUGAAAAAGAACCUGAAACCGUGUACGUACAAGCAGUGGGAGCACCCUUUAGGGUGUGACUGCGUACCUUUUGUAUAAUGGGUCAGCGACUUAUAUUCUGUAGCAAGGUUAACCGUAUAGGGGAGCCGCAGGGAAACCGAGUCUUAACUGGGCGUUAAGUUGCAGGGUAUAGACCCGAAACCCGGUGAUCUAGCCAUGGGCAGGUUGAAGGUUGGGUAACACUAACUGGAGGACCGAACCGACUAAUGUUGAAAAAUUAGCGGAUGACUUGUGGCUGGGGGUGAAAGGCCAAUCAAACCGGGAGAUAGCUGGUUCUCCCCGAAAGCUAUUUAGGUAGCGCCUCGUGAACUCAUCUUCGGGGGUAGAGCACUGUUUCGGCUAGGGGGUCAUCCCGACUUACCAACCCGAUGCAAACUACGAAUACCGAAGAAUGUUAUCACGGGAGACACACGGCGGGUGCUAACGUCCGUCGUGAAGAGGGAAACAACCCAGACCGCCAGCUAAGGUCCCAAAGUCACAGUUAAGUGGGAAACGAUGUGGGAAGGCACAGACAGCCAGGAUGUUGGCUUAGAAGCAGCCAUCAUUUAAAGAAAGCGUAAUAGCUCACUGGUCGAGUCGGCCUGCGCGGAAGAUGUAACGGGGCUAAACUGUGCACCGAAGCUGCGGCAGCGACACUAUGUGUUGUUGGGUAGGGGAGCGUUCUGUAAGCCUGCGAAGGUGGCCUGUGAGGGUUGCUGGAGGUAUCAGAAGUGCGAAUGCUGACAUAAGUAACGAUAAUGCGGGUGAAAAGCCCGCACGCCGGAAGACCAAGGGUUCCUGUCCAACGUUAAUCGGGGCAGGGUGAGUCGACCCCUAAGGCGAGGCCGAAAGGCGUAGUCGAUGGGAAACAGGUUAAUAUUCCUGUACUUGGUGUUACUGCGAAGGGGGGACGGAGAAGGCUAUGUUAGCCGGGCGACGGUUGUCCCGGUUUAAGCAUGUAGGCGGAGGUUCCAGGUAAAUCCGGUACCUUUUAACGCUGAGGUGUGAUGACGAGGCACUACGGUGCUGAAGUAACAAAUGCCCUGCUUCCAGGAAAAGCCUCUAAGCAUCAGGUAACAUUAAAUCGUACCCCAAACCGACACAGGUGGUCAGGUAGAGAAUACCAAGGCGCUUGAGAGAACUCGGGUGAAGGAACUAGGCAAAAUGGUGCCGUAACUUCGGGAGAAGGCACGCUGAUAUGUAGGUGAAGCCCCUGCGGGUGGAGCUGAAAUCAGUCGAAGAUACCAGCUGGCUGCAACUGUUUAUUAAAAACACAGCACUGUGCAAACACGAAAGUGGACGUAUACGGUGUGACGCCUGCCCGGUGCCGGAAGGUUAAUUGAUGGGGUUAUCCGUAAGGAGAAGCUCUUGAUCGAAGCCCCGGUAAACGGCGGCCGUAACUAUAACGGUCCUAAGGUAGCGAAAUUCCUUGUCGGGUAAGUUCCGACCUGCACGAAUGGCGUAAUGAUGGCCAGGCUGUCUCCACCCGAGACUCAGUGAAAUUGAACUCGCUGUGAAGAUGCAGUGUACCCGCGGCAAGACGGAAAGACCCCGUGAACCUUUACUAUAGCUUGACACUGAACAUUGAGCCUUGAUGUGUAGGAUAGGUGGGAGGCUUUGAAACGUGGACGCCAGUCUGCGUGGAGCCAACCUUGAAAUACCACCCUUUAAUGUUUGAUGUUCUAACGUUGGCCCCUGACCGGGGUUGCGGACAGUGUCUGGUGGGUAGUUUGACUGGGGCGGUCUCCUCCCAAAGAGUAACGGAGGAGCACGAAGGUUAGCUAAUCCUGGUCGGACAUCAGGAGGUUAGUGCAAUGGCAUAAGCUAGCUUGACUGCGAGCGUGACGGCGCGAGCAGGUGCGAAAGCAGGUCAUAGUGAUCCGGUGGUUCUGAAUGGAAGGGCCAUCGCUCAACGGAUAAAAGGUACUCCGGGGAUAACAGGCUGAUACCGCCCAAGAGUUCAUAUCGACGGCGGUGUUUGGCACCUCGAUGUCGGCUCAUCACAUCCUGGGGCUGAAGUAGGUCCCAAGGGUAUGGCUGUUCGCCAUUUAAAGUGGUACGCGAGCUGGGUUUAGAACGUCGUGAGACAGUUCGGUCCCUAUCUGCCGUGGGCGCUGGAGAAUUGAGGGGGGCUGCUCCUAGUACGAGAGGACCGGAGUGGACGCAUCACUGGUGUUCGGGUUGUCAUGCCAAUGGCAUUGCCCGGUAGCUAAAUGCGGAAGAGAUAAGUGCUGAAAGCAUCUAAGCACGAAACUUGCCCCGAGAUGAGUUCUCCCUGAGACUUUAAGUCUCCUGAAGGAACGUUAAAGACGAUGACGUUGAUAGGUCGGGUGUGUAAGCGUAGCGAUACGUUGAGCUAACCGAUACUAAUGAACCGUGAGGCUUAACCUUACAACGCCGAAG